GCCGAAGUAGCUCAGUCGGUAGAGCAACUGAUUCGUAAUCAGUAGGUCGGAGGUUCGACUCCUCUCUUCGGCACCA
rnacentral:tRNA from 2 species